rnacentral:rRNA from 1 species
GAAGGCUAUGUUGGCCGGGCGACGGUUGUCCCGGUUUAAGCGUGUAGGUGUGUGUUCCAGGUAAAUCCGGUUCACUUUAACACUGAGGCGUGACGACGAGGCACUACGGUGCUGAAGCAACAAAUGCCCUGCUUCCAGGAAAAGCCUCUAAGCAUCAGGUAACAUCAAAUCGUACCCCAAACCGACACAGGUGGUCAGGUAGAGAAUACCAAGGCGCUUGAGAGAACUCGGGUGAAGGAACUAGGCAAAAUGGUGCCGUAACUUCGGGAGAAGGCACGCUGACACGUAGGUGAAGUGAUUUACUCAUGGAGCUGAAGUCAGUCGAAGAUACCAGCUGGCUGCAACUGUUUAUUAAAAACACAGCACUGUGCAAACACGAAAGUGGACGUAUACGGUGUGACGCCUGCCCGGUGCCGGAAGGUUAAUUGAUGGGGUCAGCGCAAGCGAAGCUCCUGAUCGAAGCCCCGGUAAACGGCGGCCGUAACUAUAACGGUCCUAAGGUAGCGAAAUUCCUUGUCGGGUAAGUUCCGACCUGCACGAAUGGCGUAAUGAUGGCCAGGCUGUCUCCACCCGAGACUCAGUGAAAUUGAACUCGCUGUGAAGAUGCAGUGUACCCGCGGCAAGACGGAAAGACCCCGUGAACCUUUACUAUAGCUUGACACUGAACAUUGAGCCUUGAUGUGUAGGAUAGGUGGGAGGCUUUGAAGUGUGGACGCCAGUCUGCAUGGAGCCGACCUUGAAAUACCACCCUUUAAUGUUUGAUGUUCUAACGUGGACCCGUUACCCGGGUUGCGGACAGUGUCUGGUGGGUAGUUUGACUGGGGCGGUCUCCUCCUAAAGAGUAACGGAGGAGCACGAAGGUUGGCUAAUCCUGGUCGGACAUCAGGAGGUUAGUGCAAUGGCAUAAGCCAGCUUGACUGCGAGCGUGACGGCGCGAGCAGGUGCGAAAGCAGGUCAUAGUGAUCCGGUGGUUCUGAAUGGAAGGGCCAUCGCUCAACGGAUAAAAGGUACUCCGGGGAUAACAGGCUGAUACCGCCCAAGAGUUCAUAUCGACGGCGG